UUUGCAAUAUAGCAGAGUGUUCAAAUACUAAUUUUCUUCACUGUAUAUAUAUUUUUGUGUGUGUGUUGAGCAAAGUCAUAUUGUGUAAUCCUCAAAUUUAGAUGUUUUAUUUUAGUAGGACAUUGGCUUUCUACAAACUUCUACUCCUUACACAUUAAUUUUUUUUCAGAUGUUCUGUAUCAAUUAUUUUGCUAUUUAUCAACUAUUUUGCUCUUUGUUUUUCCCCUAUUGGAGUCAGUGGUUCACCUAAGGUGACUAAACUGACUUCCCCCUGAACAGGGUAACAACUACUUUCUGCUUCUACCACAAGUAGCGGAGAAUUUUUACCUCUGUAUCCUCAAACAGUUGUCACUCAAUUUCCUGUCCAAAUGAGGUAGCGUACCUCCACUCACACUUUUACACAUGCACAUGUUUCACGUAGCUUAAGUACGUACAGGACACACGUUCACCUUUUCUCAAUUUUAUAGACUAAUUUGUCUUCUCGAUAGGGACUAGUACUCUCAACGUUUGGUUCUACCGCAGUCACCCAGAUGCGCAUUCACUCAUUCCUCGUGAGUGUGUGUUUCCUACACACCAGAGAUGUCUUCUUUUCCUUCAUUCGGCUUCUCGUCAACCCUCAGCCUCCAGACGCAAAGUCGAGGCCCAGUCCCGGAAAGGGUCUCAAGUGCCGUGGCCAUGGUCUUUGCCUGGAGGUUGACUCAGCCACUGGAAACCUCAGGUAUCUUGACCUCUGGCUCGAAAUAACCAAGCAAAUGUCAGGUUUACCAAGACAUUCAUUAAACUGGACAAAAAGAAAGCAAAGACACAAGUUCAAGUUGCUCGAGGAGAGAGGAGAGGAACUCUCUCAUACAAUUCACCACUGCACUCUCUGAUUAUCCUCUCCACAGCACCUCAAUUUAUUUAGUUUCAAAACGCCCCUUAUUUACAUGGAUCUUACAAAAAGGAGACAGGUGAGCAAAACAUAGUUGGAAACAAACUGUACUUGUUUGUUUGUGUGUGUGUGUGUCAUGGUCCUGCCGGUCCCCGCACACCUGCGCUGAUUGGGAGGUGCACACCUACGCCUCAUCUGCAAUAAUUAACCCUGGUAUAUAUAGGAUGCAGCGGACGGUCUGCCUUUACCAGAUCGUCGCCAUCCAUGCUUCGUCCGCAUUCCUGACUCCGAACUCCUGUGUACCGACCUCCGCCUGUUCCUUGACCAACCCCAACGAUCUGGCCGAGACAUGGACCCAGCCAACUCAGAAGCCAUCCACCGCUCAUUGCAGAUCAAAGGCAGAAGCCUGGCCAAGCAGGAGACUGGUCUUCAACUCAGGUUCCUCAGACUACCCCGUCAGUCGCGGAUUUUCAGCGGACCAGAGCCACUCCUCUCUCCAGAUGCUUUUCCGGCGACUCUGGGAACGUCAGACCCUUCCUCGCCCAGUGCGGUAUCCACUUCGAGCUACAGGCCUCCGCUUUCCUGAGGAACCGCGCGCGGAUUGCCUUCGUCAUUUCCCACAUGACGGGAAGAGCAGAGGCAUGGGCCACGGCGGUGUGGAGUCGCAACUCUGGAACAUGCCACGUACAGGAUUCAAGAGGCAUACCGGAGUUACCAGCACUACUGUACUGUUAUCAGGACCUCAAGGAGGUCUUCUCAGAGGUAAAAUCCAAAUCCCUGCCGCCAAUUGUCCGUACAAUUGCGCCAUUGAGUUACUGCCCGGCACCUCACCCCCUCGAGGGAGGCUCUUUUCAUUAACAGGCCGGAACACCAAGCCAUGAAGGACAGCAUGGAGAAGUCGCUAGCGGCAGGACUCAUCCGACCAUUCUCAUCACCGGCUGGAGCAGGAAUCUUCUUUGUGAAGAAAAAGGACACCUCGUUACGGCCCUGUAUUGAUUACAGAGGACUCAAUGACAUCACCAUCAACAACAGGUACCCUCUUCCCCUAAUCACUACCACAUUCGAACUGCUUCAAGGGACCCGGAUCUUCACAAAAUUGGACUUACGAAAUGCGUACCAUCUGGUACGCACCUGAGAAGGAAAUGAGUGGAAGGCGGCGUUCAAUACACCAACAAGCCACUACCUGGUGAUGCCGUUUGGCCUGACAAACGCGUCAGCGGUGUUUCAGAAUUUCGGUACGGGAGGGAUUGAACAAGAAUGUGUUCGUCUACCUCGACGACAUACUGAUCAUUUCCCCGGACGAAGCAUCCCACAUUCGAACACGUCAGGGAGGUGCUACAGCAAUUGCUACGACAUCAGCUAUAUGUCAAGAUGGAGAAGUGGGAGUUCCGCCAAUCUUCCGUCUCAUUCCUGGGUUUCAUCUUGGCCGAGGGACAGAUUUGAAUGUAUCCCAGUAAGAUCGACGAGGUUCUCCAAUGGUCCUCUCCCACCAAUCGUAGGGAGGUGCAGAGUUUUAUCGGAUUCGCCAACUUUUACCGCAAGUUCAUCCGGAACUUCAGCUACAUUGCUGCCCCCCCUGCAUGCCCUCACUUCACCCUGCAACUUAUUCGAGUGGGAUGGGACCUGUCAGGAGGCCUUCGAUAGACUCAACUCGAGUUUUACCACAGCUCCGAUACUCAUCAUGCCAGAUCCAGAGAGGCAGUUGGUGGUAGAAGUGGAUGCAUCAGACUCAGGAAUGGGAGCAUUACUGUCCCAGAGGUGCGCUAAAGAUGGAAGAAUUCACCUGUGUGCCUUUCUUUCUAAGAGACUGACUCCGGCCGAGCGAAAUUAUGAUGUGGGCGAUCGCCAACUACUCGGUGUCAAGACAGUGCUGGAGGAAUGGAGACACUGGCUGGAGGGAUCACAAGUGCCGUUUCUGGUUUUUAGAGACCACAAGAACCUGGAGUAAUUGGGGACCGGUUUAAAGAAUGGCAAGCCAGACGCACUAUCUCGAAUCCAUGAAGGGGAGCGAACGGAGCCCGUGAGUGUCCCGAUUCUUCCGGAGGCCUGCUUCGUGUCCGUGUUCACCUGGAAGAUUGAGACACGAGUAAACGAGGUCUUGAGGGACUCUCCGGGUCCAGCCGAAUGCCCUUUUGGUCGCCUGUUUGUUGUUCCUUCGCUACGAGGGGACGUCAUUGAUUGGGCUCACACUAACAAGUCGAUCUGCCACACGGGAAUGGCGAAGACCCGCUCUGUCGUGGGACAAUGGUUUUGCUAGCCAAACCUAGUGAAGGACAUAAGGGAGUACGUCAAAGCGUGUCUGGUCUGUAUGGCCAAUAAGACCUCUCGCCUGCGACCUAUGGGUGAGUUACGGCCAUUACCAAUUCCCUCUGGUCCCUGGUCACACAUCUCCCUGGAGUUUGUCACAGGUCUACCCUGCUCCCAAAGAAUCAUUGUGGUACUUUUGGUCAUUGAUCGCUUUUCUAAAAUGGUCCACUUUGUGCCAGCUCCGAAGAUCCCGUCCGGCAAGCAGACAGCCCAGCUACUACUGUACAAGGUCGUUCGCUACCACGGCCUGCCAAUGGACAUAUCGGACAGAGGACCACAAUUUAUAUCCCGUUUCUGGAAGGAGUUCUGCACCCUCAUCGGGGCAAAAGUAAGCCUUACCACAGGCCAUCACCCUGAGUCCAACGGCCAGACAGAGAGAAUAAACCAGGACCUGGAGACCGGUCUACGCUGUCUGCCAUUGCAUGAUCACAGCACGUGGAGCCAACAAGCUAGCUCAGAGGUUCUGGGUCCAUUUGCUAUCAAUAAAAUCAUUCACCCUGUCGCUGUUUCGUUGAAACUCCCCAGAUCGAUAUAGGUCCACCCCACGUUUCAUGUAAGGAGGCUUCGUCCAACUCGUCCUUCACCAUUACUCCCCCCCGGUCAAGAACCCCCCCACCCCCGUCCCGCUUCAUCGUUGACCCCAGCCUCAUCAGGGACUUCCAUCCAUCUCAUCCUGAAGUCCCUGGGCCGUCUGGAGCAGGCCUUUAAGGGGGAGGGGUACUGUCAUGGUCCUGCCGGUCCAGCCCUGGCUGUGCAGGUCCUCGCACAUCUGCGCCUCAUCUCCAAUAAUUAACCCUGGUAUACCUGUAUAUAGGACCCUGUCUUUGUCAGAUUGUCGCCAUCCAUGCUUCGUUCCCUCACUUCCACAUUCCUGACUCUGAACUCCUGUUCCCCGACCGACCCAGUAAGCCUGUUGCUUCUGAUUCUACUGCUCACUCUGACUGACUCCCCGCCUUUCGACAUCGGAACGAAUAAAAACUCUCUUUCAACUGCCUUCCUGUCCACCGAGUCGUGUAUUUGGGUCCGCCCUAGUGUUCGGGUUAUGACAGUGUGUGCGUCUGUACAUGAGUGUGGAAGAUUGCUGAGUACAUGUGUGGUCAUCAUUUCUUUAACAGACAACAGGUGCUCCUGGUUCGAACAUUUCUAAUGAUUAGAUGUUUUUGUCCUUGUACUAUCUCCUGCUAGGCGGCUCCCACGUUAUCUCGAGCAGAGCAAAGCAUUUCUUUAUUGGAAGCAGAUGUAUGAUAAUUAUAUUCACAAUUAUUCCUACACUCACCAAAGAUAAGCUUCCAAAGAAUGGAACUGUGCCAUUUUUCAUUUAAUUCUGGAGUUUGGAACUCUGAUAGGAUGCCCUUUCCAUGGGCCAAUUCCCCUUUUAAUUGUUAAAACAUCAUAAGGAAGCUGUAAUGUUCUUACAUAGCAACAAGACGUCCAGCCAUAAUGCAAAAAUAUACAAGCCUGACCCCCACAGACCCACCAAAUAUCAUUUAAUUUCCCAAAAUAUUGUUUUCUAUGAAUGUAUGAUUCGUUACUUGGAAUGUCACAGAAUAAGUCUGAAGCUUUUCUCCAAAUAGGAGAACCUUGAACUUCAUCAAGUAAAAUCCACACUCCGAAGUUCCCUCGAAUCUCUGCGUAAUCAUGUGACACAUUUGAGCAAAAACAAAUAGUUGAUUCCACUGGCCUCAAUUCUAUUGAAUAAUACAGUAGACUGGAGAUCUUCAUGUUUUCCUAGCCUCUUCUCAAGUUGUCAUCUUAUCAUGUUGACAGAAACUAGCUCUAGGGACAAGGAAUGUCACCUCUUUGAGAGGGAUGGAGCUCAAGCUCAUCCGUGAGGUCGAGAAGUUCUGACUAGAUAUAGUUGGACUUGCAUCCAGGCACUGCUUGGGCUCUGGGAUCAGUCCUCUUGAGAGGGGUUGUCCGUCGCCCCCAAACAACAGUUCAGCAUUCCCACCCUUUUUGGAGCCUUAGAGGGAGUGCUGGAGAACGCGCCCUCUGGAGACUCCAUCAUUAAGCUGGGGGAGUUCAAUGCCCACAUGGGCAAUUACAGUGAGACGUGGAAGGGCAUGAUUGAGAAGAACACCCCCCGAUCAGAACUGGAGUGGUGCUCUGUUACUGGACUUCUGUGGUCAUCAUGGAUUGUCCAUAACAAACACCAUGUUCAGGCAUAAGGGUAUCCACAUGCGCCCCUGGCACCAGGAAACCCAAGGUCACAGUUUGAUGAUAGACAUUGUGGUCGUGUCAUCACACUUGCGGCCGCAUGUCUUGGUCACUUGGGUGAGGAGAGGGGCAGAGCUGUCAACUGCUCAUCAACUGGUGGUGAGUUGGCUCUGAUGGUGGGGGAAGAUGCCAGUCUGGUGUGGCAGGCCCAAAUGUAUUGUGAGGGUCUGCUGCAAACACGUAGCACAUUUCCCUUUUAGAAGGAAUUUGAACUCCCAGCUCUGAAAGAACGUUGUUCAUAGGCCCGGGGGAGCCGGGGCAUGAUGUUCCGCCCCUCAAUUUCUGAGGCGGCCGACUGGAGCUUUGGCCGUAAGGUGGUCUGUGACUGUCGUGGCGGAAAGCCCCGAACACGUUGGUGGACAGCAACAGUUCUAUCGAGCAUUUCUGGCCUGUGGGAUUCCCGAGGCUUCUGAUAAGUACGGGUUGUCUAAACGGAAUGUUGUUUUGGUGGUUACGAAGGCAAAAACUCAGGCAUGGGACGAGUUCAGUGAGGCCAUGCAGAACGAGUUUAAGAUGGCGUCAAGGAAAUUCUGGUCCACCGUCCCAGGAGGAGUAAGCAGUACACCGUCAACACUGUGUGUAGUAAAGCAAAGCAAAGGAAAUUUAUUUAUAUCGUGCAUUUCAUACACAAGGUAACUCAAUGUGCUUUACAUGAUUAUUUGAAUGCAAAGAGAUAAAACGUCAAAAAUGAGGAAAAUGACAAUAAAAAUGAAAAAGAGAGACACGGUGAAUCAGCUGGCCUCACAGUUCUGAGGUCUGGGCUUCGAUCCUGGACCCGUCUGUGUGGCAUUUGCAUGUUCUCCCCCUCUUUGCAUGGGUUUUCUCUGGGCACUCUGGUUUCCUCCCACAUCCCAAAGACAUGCAACAUUAAUUAGACACUCUAAAUUGCCCCUAGGUGUGAUUGUGAGUGCAGUCUCUAUUUGCCCUGGAAUUGGCUGGUAACCAGUUGAGGGUGUACCCUGUCUCCUGCCCAUUGAAAGCUGGGAUAGGCUCCAGCACUCCCUCGUUACCCUCGUGAGGAUAAGUGGCUGAGAAAAUGGAUGGAUGGAUAGAUGGAUGGAAGUACAUGCAGUUUUACCCGAACACUGGAAUAGACUGAUGUCAAGUAGGUGGCCAUACCACAAACAGCAAUGGAGCGAAUUGAUAACAAUUGGCUUAUAUGGCUUGGGUUCAUGUGGUGAGCUGAGACCUAGCACCAACUCUCAAAUUGAACACCAGAUGUCGCCAAACAAAACUAUACUUGAUUGGAUCACCAGCACGGCAAAGAUCUCUCUGAUAAACGUAGCCCAACCACUUAGCAGCUCAUUGCAUUGCAUACGUAUACCAAAGUCAGUAACCUUACAUAAACUUGAUUAUUUUUCAUAUUUUUGUAUUACAUACAUAUAACGGGGUUAGCAACCUUAAGAACCCAAUUAUUGCCAUGUGUUUGUAUUCACAUCUUAUUUUUGAC